AUAGGUAAAUACGAGUGAUUUCGUCUGUAACUUGUCGGUGAUGUGUUCUAUUCCGUGUAUAUGUUGGAUAACCUUAAUGUCUUUCAUCAACUUACAGUCUUAUAACUGAAAACUUACAGUCUGAAUGUCGUGCAGCCGGCCGUCAACUAUUUUGUUCAAACUCAUUGUAUUCUACUGAAUGUGCCAUCGAAAUGAUACAGGAUUCAUCAUAAUUAUCGGCUGUUUCUAGUGGACUUGCUAGAUCAUCAACCCCAGCAUGGACCAAUCUCUCAUUCCAGCUUCUAGAGAAUCUUGGAUAACUGAUUGGCGGUUUCAUGUGAUCUAAACUCCAGGUUUCUAAAUUUGCACGGCAGCCUUUAUGAGAAUUCAUGUCCUUUCAAGUAAGUCAACAAGGUCACUUGUUUACUAACCUUUUGGCUGCUACCCUUGAAUCUCCCUUUUUACUCUCUAAAGACGGGCCAUCUUAAUUUGAGGGUAAUCCUUCGCUACUUGUCAUGGACUUCAUCCACUGGUGAAAACCGACGAGAGAAUGCUGUAAUCCAAGACUGAUAAAUUGUUUAGUCGUUAGAUUAAAUUAAAAGUGCAUAUCUGGGCUCCCUUCUCUUCUGUGGCCCCGUUUCCCUUACUAACCACUAACCAACGCCCGCCGGUGGUCACUCACCCGCUGUGAAACCAGGAGGAGGGGAGGGCUCUGGUCGAACGGGGACUUGGAAGGCGCAUGAUCCGAUGAAAACUUUUGGAGGGUCAUGAGUCUUACCCGGAAGCCUAGUAUGACUACAUCUCCCCGGAAAAACUUGCCUCGUACUUCUCUCUUCUUCUCGGUCCAGAUAAAUAUCUCUGGGGGCCGUAGACAAAACCUAUAACAGCAUGUGCGAGUUUAUAAGAAGCAGCCCACUAUCCAAUGAAAGAAAAAGCCGUGGAUUAGUUUUGCGGACAGUCACGCAGAUUUCCGCUCAAAUAGACCAUCGCUUUUUGUCUCAUUGCCGCAGCGGUGGUGGCGGGUUUGCAAUAAACUCGUACAGUAGCAAAACGUCUUGAACCGGACGCUCUGUUUAUUGAAAU